rnacentral:rRNA from 1 species
AUGGCAGAGGCAGACCUUGAACGGUCAACACCUUCUUCAAUGGUCGACGGCCUUAAACCAGGGCAAAGGAAGGUUUUGUUCGGCUCGUUCAAGAGGAACUUGAUUGAAGAAACUAAGGUGGCGGACCUGGCUGCUUAUGUGUCAGAACACGCAGCAUGCCACCAUGGCGAUCGGAGCCUAGCAGGCAUAAUCGUAGGAAUGGCUCAAGAUUUUGUUGGCAGCAACAAUAUCAGUCUCUUGGAGCCCCGCGGCCAGUUCGGUACCAGGUGCCGAGGGGGCGAAGACGCUGCUGAUGCCGCGUAUAUCUUCACCAGAUUAGCACCUAUCACCCGUUUAAUUUUUCCAGAGGAUGAUGACCUUCUUCUCGACUAUUUGAAUGAAGAUGGAAAGUCAAUUGAACCCAGUUGGUAUGUGCCAAUCAUUCCCAUGGUUUUGGUCAAUGGAACUGGCAUUGACAAUGGGUCAAACAGCUAUGUCCCAAACUAUAAUCCAAGAGACAUUAUUGCUAAUCUAAAAAGGUUACUCAAUGGAGAGACUGUGAUACCAAUGGACCCUUGGUACAAGGGGUUCGAGGGCUCUUUGAAGAAGACAAGUUCAAAGGAAGCUGGUGUCACAUAUACCAUCACUGGUGUUAUAGAGGAAGUUGAUGACACCAUGCUUAAAAUUACCGAGCUUCCCAUCCCCUGCUGGACUACAGAUUACCAAGAGUUCCUUGAAUCCAUGUGUCCUUGGUGGCAUGAUGAGGACAAGGACAAGGAACCACCAUUUCUAGAGGAAGUAAUGUUAGAAAAUAUUAGGAAAGAGUUGUUGAUGCCUAAGAACAAAGUGAGGUUUAUUCUUGCUGUUAUUUCCGGGGACAUCAUAGCCAAUAACAGGAAGAGGGCAGAGCUAUUCCUGGAGCUUAAGCAGAAGGGGUAUGAGCCUUUCCCAGAGGAAAAAAUUACGGCAGAGCCGGUUGCUGUAGGAGCUACAGCAGUAGAUGAAGCUGCAGCAGGAGUUAAUGCGAGUGAAUAUGAGUAUCUUCUCGCAAUGACAGAUGGUACCUUGACUCCAGAGAAGGUACAGGAGCUCAUCGCACUGCAGAAGAAUUUAGAGGGCAAAGUUGAAAGUCUCUGCAAAACAACUCCAGAGACUCUUUGGCUGAGAGACCUUGAUGCUCUUGAAAAGGAAUUGGAUGUGAUUGAUGCCAAAUUUGAAGCUGAAGAACAGGUGCGGGAAAAAGCAGCACUACUCAAGGAACAGCGUUGGAACACUCUUGUCAAAUCUCAGAAGGCAAGUGCACCAGUGAGAGAUGACGACAACGGAGCGUUUGAACUAAAAAAUCGUCUGCUUGCUUAUGAUCUUGAUGAGUCCUCUCCAGAACAUAGUGGUAGUGCCAAUGCGCGGAAACUGAGAAUACAGAUGGACAGCAGAAAAGGGGAAAGAAAAGAAGGAACGAGCCAAGCAAAAGAGGCAGCAACUGCAGUGCUCCUUCUCCUGCGAAGAAGGUGCGAAGAUGAGGGAAUCCCCCCUUCAACAAGAGGAGCGGCCUCGAUUUGCGUGAGCGCUUCAGCAGCAAUAGAAGAUGCUGAUCUCUCAGCCUAA